rnacentral:rRNA from 1 species
UACGGAGGGUGCGAGCGUUAUCCGGAAUUACUGGGCUUAAAGGGUGCGUAGGCGGCCAUGUAAGUCAGGAGUGAAAGUCUGCGGCUCAACCGUAAAAUUGCUUUUGAUACUGCAUGGCUGGAAUCAGGAUGAGGUCAGCGGAAUGUGGCAUGUAGCGGUGAAAUGCAUAGAUAUGCCAUAGAACACCAAUUGCGAAGGCAGCUGGCUGCACAAAUAUUGACACUGAGGCACGAAAGCGUGGGGAUCAAACAGG